GGGGUGCUCAGAAGCCGCACCCGGGAGCUGAGAGAGUUGGCUAACUCCUUUCGGGGCCUGGGGCGCCCACGUCCUCCGUGAAGCCACCUGUGAGUCUGCCGCCGGAUGCACGCCAUCCGGAUCCAGGGACCCCGACCUCUGCGGCCCCCGAGCCCGGCGGCUGGUCUGGGUUCGGCCGCCCGCACUUACCGGGAUCCGCCAGGAAGACGCGCACACUGCGGGGGCCCGAGCGCGGCCCGCCGCUCCGGUCCUCCGCCUCCUCCGGCCCUCCGCCUCCUCGCUCCGAGGCCCGGGCUGCGGCUCGCACUCGCCGCCGCUCUCGCCGUCCGGGGCUGGGCUCGGGAGGAGACUAAGCCGCCGCGAGCCCCGCGCGCCGCCUCUGGUGCUGCCUGGCCCCCUCCGGCCCCUCCCUCUCGCCUCUGCGCGGGGAGCGUGGCCGCAGCGCGCUCGGCUCCCGCGCCCUCUGCUCCACGCCUCCUGGGCGCAGAGGCGACGCCGGCUGCGGUCUCUUAGGAGAUUUCUCCGCAGUGGGGACAGGGGUCAGGAUUUGCAGACGGGCAAGGACGAAGAGGAGAAAUCAUACAGGGUUUCUUCAUGCUUUCCUGGGACUAGGGGAAACGUCCGUCGUAUCUGGAAAAUGCACCACCUUUGACUUUGGGAACUAAGGCCCCCCACCCAGGUGGAGGGUAGUUACAUCAGGCUGAGCACAAGAGUCCUGGAACACGGCCCUGUUACCUCACCAAUCAGAAGAAAGUCUGCACACAUUGGAAGAUAAAGAAGACUCUGACCACCUUCCCAAAAUGAAUAAUUCCACCACCAUUCUGGACUCCUGUUUCCUAUUCUAACUGCCUAACACAACCAACACUUGUCUCUCAAGUACUGACUUUCCAGCAGCAAGCAGCUGAACCUGAGUUCACUAACGUAGUGGAAUCCCCAAGGUGUGAAGACUGGGCUUACUGUGGAAAGAAAAUGCAGAUCAGGAGUAGGGGCUUGACUUAAGCCGUUAACUAGGUGUAUGACCCUGACUAGGUCCCUCAAUUCUAUGCAUCUUCAGUUUUCUCACCUGUCUGGACCAGAAAGACUCUGAGAUUUUUUUCUGCUCUGAAUUUUGAUGCCUGUUUCUACAUAGAAUGGAUUUGAAAAUUCAUUUUGGUAAUUGUAAAAAUCAGAGUUCCAAACAGAUCCUCAAAGAGAAAUACAAGGGAAAACGCUAGUUUUACAUCAUGUCUUAUAUCUCAUUUGAGAUUUUCCUUUAUAAAUAAAAAGAAACAGAAAAGGAA
ensembl:lncRNA